rnacentral:rRNA from 1 species
CGAACGCUGGCGGCGUGCUUAACACAUGCAAGUCGAACGCGAAAGGGACUUCGGUCCUGAGUAAAGUGGCGCACGGGUGAGUAACGCGUAGAUAAACCUGUCUUCAUGUCUGGAAAUAAUACGCCGAAAGGGGUACUAAUACCGGAUAUCUUGCUUUUCAUAAGUUAUGCAAGCAAAGGUGGCCUCUGCAUAUGCUACUGCAUGAAGAGGGGUCUGCGUACCAUUAGCUAGUAGGUGGGGUAAUGGCCUACCUAGGCGACGAUGGUUAGCGGGUCUGAGAGGAUGAUCCGCCACACUGGCACUGGAACACGGGCCAGACUCCUACGGGAGGCAGCAGUGAGGAAUAUUGCGCAAUGGGGGAAACCCUGACGCAGCGACGCCGCGUGAGUGAGGAAAAGGCCUUCGGGUCGUAAAGCUCUGUCAAGAGGAAAGAAGUGUACAAUGGCUAAUACCUGUUGUAUUUGACGGUACCUCUAAAGGAAGCACCGGCUAACUCCGUGCCAGCAGCAGC